rnacentral:misc_RNA from 1 species
AACUUGUAGCAAUGUGUCACUUGGCGCUCGCAUCGAUUAAGAACGCAGCGAAAUGCGAUAAGUAAUGUGAAUUGCAGAAUUCAGUGAAUCAUCGAAUCUUUGAGCGCACCUUGCGCGCCUUGGUAUUCCGAGGAACAUGCCUGUUUGAGUGUCAUAAAAUUCUCAACCCUUUCAGCUUUUUGGUUGAUGAGGGAUUGGAUGUGGGAGCUUGCGGGCUUUCUCAGAAGUCGGCUCUCCUUAAACGCAUUAGCGGGACCUUUGUUGCCUAGCUUUUUGGUGUGAUAAUUAUCUAUGCCAUUUGCUCAAGCAGCUUAUAAUGAGGUCAAGCUUCUAAUUAGAUGCAACUUAUGACAAUUUGACCUCAAAUCAGGUAGGACUACCCGCUGAACUUAAGCAUAUCAAUAAGCGGAGGCU